rnacentral:rRNA from 1 species
GGUACUCGAGUGGCGAACGGGUGAGUAACACGUGGGUGAUCUGCCCUGCACUUCGGGAUAAGCUUGGGAAACUGGGUCUAAUACCGGAUAGGAACCAUCUUUAGUGUGGUGGUUGGAAAGUUUUUUCGGUGUAGGAUGAGCUCGCGGCCUAUCAGCUUGUUGGUGGGGUAAUGGCCUACCAAGGCGGCGACGGGUAGCCGGCCUGAGAGGGUGUACGGCCACAUUGGGACUGAGAUACGGCCCAGACUCCUACGGGAGGCAGCAGUGGGGAAUAUUGCACAAUGGGCGCAAGCCUGAUGCAGCGACGCCGCGUGGGGGAUGAAGGCCUUCGGGUUGUAAACUCCUUUCGCUAGGGACGAAGCUUUUUGUGACGGUACCUAGAUAAGAAGCACCGGCUAACUACGUGCCAGCAGCCGCGGUAAUACGUAGGGUGCGAGCGUUGUCCGGAAUUACUGGGCGUAAAGGGCUCGUAGGUGGUUUGUCGCGUCGUCUGUGAAAUUCUGGGGCUUAACUCCGGGCGUGCAGGCGAUACGGGCAUAACUUGAGUGCUGUAGGGGUAACUGGAAUUCCUGGUGUAGCGGUGAAAUGCGCAGAUAUCAGGAGGAACACCGAUGGCGAAGGCAGGUUACUGGGCAGUUACUGACGCUGAGGAGCGAAAGCAUG